CAAUAAAGUUGACCGUGUAAGGUCCACUUUAGGACAGGGUAAGUAACGUGUGUUCCGCUCGUUGGAGCUCGUCGUAGCGGCUGAUAGAAGUGGAAAUCCAGGUAAACCAUUCAAUUUUCUAUCUCUGGAAUGGUUAACCUGUAUGUGCUUCAGAAGGUUUGCUGGCCAAAUCCCGAUAUUUUUGCCAGCGAGGUCAGAUAAUUCAUAGGAAGAACUACCGUGCUUUUUUACGACUUUACAAGGAACGUACUGACAACCCAACUUUGCGUUAUAGCCUUUUAACGCGUUGGAAAGUUUUUGAUUCUUCCGGUACACCAAUUGUCCUUCAGAAAAAGGUCUGGAAAAAGAACGAUGGCGUAGGUUGUAACGGUUCUUAGAGCUAACGUCCUCUUCGAUGUUUUCAGUAAUACAGGGAUUUCGAAAGUCAGUGACUGAUCUAGCCAUCUCAUGACCGUGUAUGAUGAAAUAAGGGGCUGUCCACAUACCACGUGGACAGAAAAAGCAUGAUUUUAGACACCCCCCCUCCCCCUCCGUGGACAAGCGUGGACAUUUCUUAUACCCCUCCCCCUGUUGUCCACGUGGACAUUUACAGUUUACAUACAGUUUUUGGAAAAAAAAUCAAGAAAAUUCUAUUUUUUCGCUUAAAUUUUAUUUCAAGUUUGAUUCUACUUUCUAAUCCAUGUUUUAUUCAUAUGAUCCAUAUUAUAUAUGGAUUCGCUGGCCCUUAGACCAGUUAAAAAGCAGAAUUUCGUAAACAAUCGACGCCAUAUUCAAAUGGAAGGAUUGCUGUGGGGGGAAUUCGAUGUAAUUUGAAAUGUUAUGAAAAUUGAGAUUAUUUUCGCAUGACAAAACAUUGAUUAAAUUACAGAAAAAUAAUUUCUUCAAAUUAAAUUUCAUACCAGUUGUCGCACUCAGUGCGAAACUUCCAUUGGAAUCUUUUUGUUCAUCCAAUUUCAUGAUCAACGCGAAUCAAACAAUUUAUUGAAGUUCCCCUCGAUUUUAUUUUACAUUUAACAUGUCGGACCAGUUAAAACGCGAAUGUCGAUAACUGGUCUUCCUUUUUCGCAUAGUUAAUGAAUGUUUACUGUAUAAGUCUCAGGUCUAGAAAAGAACGCUUCAGCUAACCCCGAUGUAAUCCAAUUUCUUCACAAUUUUUAC